AACGCAUCGUUGCCGCUCGACCAUCCCUCCAUGUUCACCGCUUCUUCCCUGCGCUAUCCCGAGAUGUGGAAAAGAAGAAAAACGAGCUCCCGUGGCCGAUGCCAUCGAUCUCUCCGCCAUUGAUGGUCCUCUCCUCUUCCCAUCUCCAGCUCCGACAGGCCCCCUCCGUUCGAUCGGUCCGUGCGAUCCUUCCACUUCCCUUUGGCCUCGCACCCUUCUCCUCCGGUUUUUAGGGUUUAAUGUUCGAUUUGAUCCGGUCCUGGAGGAACGAUGCGAAUGAGGGAUCGAUGCUGGUCGUUUUGGUCUAUUUGGAUUUUCUUUGAAUCAUUGUUGGUGAUUUGUUUCAUUCUGAUGCGAUCUUGCGUUCUCGAUUCGGGGUUGCUUGCUUUUCAAAUGUGGUGGUAGCGUUGGAUUUGUCUGCCCCGAAAACAAAGUGGAUGAUGGAUUUAGCUUGUGGUAUCUUGAUUACGGCAUCGGUUGGUCUUCGGGGUUUAGAUACAGAGGACAGAGUCACUGUGUUCUUCGUUGCAUUAGGAUAUGCUUCUAGUCUUUUUCUUUGGGAAGGAAAGGAAAUCGCUGAUGAUUGGUCGUCUUGUUUAAAGUUCCGUGUACGGGACAGAUCAUGGUGUUCCGUUUAGUUUGUUGGGCAAUGGAGGAGACAUUUUGAAUGCAUUUUCUUGAACUCUAUGGAGGAAACUUCUGAAAGGAUCGAUGCUGUUGGUUUGUCAGAUGAACGAUUCUUUGGCAUUUGUUGGUGCUAGCAAACAAAAUUUUGAUGUGACCCAGAAUAACUUUGUAGAUGAGCAGGAAGACUCUAUAGAGGGCUCAGAAGGAGGGCCUCUCUUUGAUGAAAAACCGACUGAACAAGUGGCUGAGGAAAAGGAAGCUUAUCAGCUGGAUGAGUUGAGGGAUUGCUUCAGAAGGCUAUCAAGGAAUUGCAGGUUGCUCAGCUCAACAGUCCUUGUGCUGGAAUACAGGGCAUAGAAGAUAUCUGAAACAGCAAUCGCCUUAAAAGAUGAAGCAGAACGUGCUUGGUGAGACGUUAAUUCAGCUCCUUCUACCAUUCAGGAGAUUUUUUUAAUGAAGAAGACAUUGCCAAAGAGGCAGUCCACAAGGACACCGUGGCUGGUAGCACGAGUAAUUGAUUACAAAAAGAAGAUAUCAUCAGAACCUUCUGUGAGGAAUCAUGAGAAACAAGCACUGGUAUGUAAGGAAAGCUUGGAAAGCUGCGAGGAAGGAUCGAGAUGCAUUCGAAUGGGGAAUGAGGAACUGCAGCAGAAGGAAGUAGAGAAGUUGCUGGAGAUUGCUGAGAAAGCUCAGCUGGAUUUUGGAGAUGCAGUGAGUUGAGAGUUUAGGAAACUUUUAUAAUGCUUUUCCACAAUUAUCUUACAUAAUAAACUGCAACACGAAUUUUGUAACUGGAAUUUUUAGAUUGGGGCUGAGUGGACUCGUGCUGCUGCCAUAGUUUUAAAUACUCCUGAUGCAAAUUAUAGAGCAGUUUGGACGGUGAGCAACUAUCCAAAUGUUAAAGACAUUUGUUCAGGUCCACAAAUAUUGAUCAUGGAAUUAAUUUGUAAAAGGAAGGUUCAUCUGCGGAAAGUUAUGGUCACACCUUUCAUUUCAACACAUGGUUGUACCAGACUUUGGAACCAAAUCUCCAGUCAACUGCUGUUGUUCUUGCACAGGAAAGUUGGCCAAUCUCAGAGCUUGCUGCCCCAAUAAAUGAAUUCAGAACUCGUCGUCUCUCAGAGCUCGCUGAGGUAAAAAUAUCACCAACUGUUUCAUGUUGUAGUUAACUGAACUGACCCUUGUUUACCUCUUAACAACGUUGGUGAACUGUUUUUAUUUUUUCACCUUAUUGAGCAAUUUGCAAAUUCCCUUUGAGAAAAUCAUGGUUAGACUUUUUGCUUUACUUUGAAAUAAUGGUGUCAUAUUAUAAGAUAAGCACAACUUCAGCCAACCCUUUUAUAGUCAUCAAUCUAUUUAAUGUUACUUAGAUACUGGCUGCUUGCAUAAACAUCCUUUAUAAUAUAAUUACAUUAUUUAGUAGCACUCCUUAUUUAGUGGUUGUUAUUAUUAUCUGUAUGAAAGUAGUAAGUGACAAAUUGUAAAUAUGUUUUCCUUGCAUCACUAUUAUACAUAUUUUUGGGCAUUAUAACAUAGGAAGAUGAUAGAUUUAAUAGGAUUUUCAUUACAUUUUGUCCUUUUUUGCACAAAAAUCAGUAUAACAUUUGCCGGACAGUAACCAGCAGGUCUCAUCCUAUCUGUAAGCCUUUUCCUUUUAUUUGAAUUUGCCGGACAGAAAUCAAAGGAACAAAUGCUCACCUAAUGAAAAAUUGAGGUCCUGGAAUAGCACUAGUCAACCCAAAUGUAAGACAAUUUUUUGUAGCUUUAGGAAAAUAUUCCUCAAGAUAUGCUUCCGAGAGAGUUAACUUUAGUAAACACUUGUAGCUUUUGUGCAACAAAUGCCUUAGCAUUGGACAAGUAUUACUCAAACCAGCAAGUCCUCUCUUAUCUCAGCCCAUGCGAGGGAUAAAUGCUUAGCAUUGGACAAACUAGUAAGAGAUCAGAUCGAACAUCAACAGAUCCGGGACUUCCCAAAUACAACAAUGAGAAGAACAUUUGCAAAGGUUGCCAGUUAAAAU